AUUGGGAUAACUGGGUCAAAUGGUGGUUCCAUUCCAAUUUUUCUGAGGAAUUUCCAUACUGCUUUUUGGAGUGGUUGUACCAAUUUGCAGUCCCACCAGCAAU
rnacentral:pre_miRNA from 1 species